rnacentral:lncRNA from 1 species
CCGCGGCCGGGCUGGGGCGCAGGGCUAGAGCGGCGAGGGCAGACGUGAGUAAGGAAGGACUGAAAGGAGGAGAAACUAUGGGUUGCCUUUUCCUUCUGUCAUCUGUUCAGGAUUUCAUAGUAAAACCUUUGUUGAUUUAAUAAACAUAAUGGAUACUCAUUAAAAUAUUCAAACAGCAUAGAAAGGGACAAAGAAGAAAGCAGCCAGCAAUCCAAGUACCACUAUCCAGAAAUAGCCAGUGAUAUCUCUUUAUGUGUGGAAAUACAAUGAAAAUUGAGUGAGAGACAUACACAGAGGAAGAAGAAAAAGGAAGCAAUCAAACUCCAAAUGGUGCUGCAAACUGAACCCCACAUGGACGAGCCCUAGCUGCUGUUCCCCAUUCGAUGCCCCUUUUCAGCGGACCUUGCCAGGGGCAGUCCAUGAAAGUUGAAUAUGAUCUCCUUGAAACUUAGCCUCGAGGUCUACAAUUUUACCAGGUGAGAACACCUGAGAAUGAUUACCAUUAGGAGGCACUCCUGAUACAGUAAACGACCCUCCAGAGAAAUUGAUUAAGAAAACUUAGAGAACAUAAAAUAAUAGACCUACCUCUGCAAUACCUGGUAUUCGAAGACGGGCAGACCGAAUAUUUAGUUCACCUUCUUGAAAAUCUGAUGCUACUUACUCAACAAAAGUCUCAUGGAGAUAAUUGAAAGGAGGUGAUAACUGGAAGAGAGCAGAAAGGGAGCAUCUGGGAUACUGCUCUAAGAGCAGGACUGCCAUAUGAGGAUGCAGAGACUGUGCCUUGUGAAACUCCAGGGGCACCAUUCAUACAAGCCAACUGGACUCCAAGUGCCACGAGAACAGAGAUUGGGUCUGGUCCCCAGCUUCAGUGCCUCCAAGGCAGAAACUCAAGAGACGUUGUUGAACUGUCAGCCUUUACAUUUAUGCAUUACUAUUGAAGGCCUGGAAUAAAUGGAUCGUGUUUUACCUGUUAUCUUGCUCAUCUCUAUUACUGCUUCAUCAGCAGCUCUUCCCAAAGCAAUAAAAUGAACAAUGGCCCC